rnacentral:miRNA from 1 species
GAAAUGCCUCCAUGAGAUGCAGCUGUAAGGCAUUUUCUCAUUUAGUGAUCAAUGAGGAGGACCCAGCCCAUGGUGGGUGGUACCAUCCCUGGGCUGCUGGUCCUG